GACGAACCGUGCGAACGUUGUUCGGAAUCACUGGGCUUAAAGGGCGCGUAGGCGGGGUGGCAAGUCUGUGGUGAAAUCCUCCGGCUCAACCGGAGAACUGCCGUGGAUACUGCCACUCUCGAGGGGUGUAGGGGCAUGUGGAACUCAGGGUGGAGCGGUGAAAUGCGUAGAUAUCCUGAGGAACGCCGGUGGCGAAAGCGACGUGCUGGACACCUACUGACGCUGAGGCGCGAAAGCGUGGGGAGCAAACAGG
rnacentral:rRNA from 1 species